UAGUGGCAGAGUGAGGGAAGAAAGGGAUGACUGGUGACAGAGUGAGAGAGGGGGUGACUAGUGACAGAGUGAAAGAGGGGGUGACUGUCACUAGUCACCCCAUCCCUCACUCUGUCACUAGUCACCCCCUCUCUCACUCUGUCACUAGUCACCCCCUCUCUCACUCUGUCACUAGUCACCCCCUUCCCUCUCUCUGUCACUCCCUCACUCUGUCACUA